CACAGACACAUUUUUAAUGGCAAAAGCGGCUGCAGCAGCCUGUGACAUCUCCUUAGGAUAAUAUGUGCUCACUUCCCAGUUUUUCCCUGUUGUCAACAUUCAAAAAAUAAAAAUAAUCAGAGAGAAUGACUCCAAGCUGUGUGGCUGUCAUUCUAUCGUGUAUCAUUGAGAUUUUCACUGUCUGUAAUCAUCUGUAAUGAAUAUUUUUAUUUAUUUUUUCGUAAAGACACUCUUCAGUUUCUGCCCUGCAUCCUGUCUGGAAGCCUUUGACUAACUUUUGUUACUCAUCGACGUGGAAAUGUAAAGACUGUGCCCAUACUUAUUCAAGACGAUCUGAACUCCUAAAACAUUACAAACUCGACCAUCAUCAUCCAUAUUCUCUGAUUUCAUUUUCAGAUAAAUGCAGACUUCUUGAGAGUUACAACAAUUCCUUUGGAGGCAAAGUUUUUUGCACAGUUGGACAAACACUCCACCAAACUUCAAGAGGUCAUCUGGAGCAAUGGAGGGCGUGUGAAAGAGCAGACCACCAACAUCUUAGAAGUUCUGGAUGAAGCAUUGUUGACAUUACCAUCAGAGGAGAAGCCAUCCUAAAAUCUCUGAUCUACUUGAGUGAAUCUUUUGAGCACCUCAUUAAAGAACACCAGGUAAGGU
rnacentral:lncRNA from 1 species